GAGUGGCGGACGGGUGAGUAACGCGUGAGCAACCUGCCCUUCAGAGGGGGAUAGCGUCUGGAAACGGACGGUAAUACCGCAUAACGUAUGAUGAUCGCAUGGUCGACAUACCAAAACUGAGGUGCUGAAGGAUGGGCUCGCGUUGGAUUAGAUAGUUGGUGGGGUAACGGCCUACCAAGUCGACGAUCCAUAGCCGGACUGAGAGGUUGAACGGCCACAUUGGGACUGAGACACGGCCCAGACUCCUACGGGAGGCAGCAGUGGGGAAUAUUGCACAAUGGGGGAAACCCUGAUGCAGCAACGCCGCGUGAAGGAAGAAGGUCUUCGGAUUGUAAACUCCUGUUGUUGGGGAAGAUAAUGACGGUACCCAACAAGGAAGUGACGGCUAACUACGUGCCAGCAGCCGCGGUAAAACGUAGGUCACAAGCGUUGUCCGGAAUUACUGGGUGUAAAGGGAGCGCAGGCGGGAAGACAAGUUGGAAGUGAAAUCUAUGGGCUCAACCCAUAAACUGCUUUCAAAACUGUUUUUCUUGAGUAGUGCAGAGGUAGGCGGAAUUCCCGGUGUAGCGGUGGAAUGCGUAGAUAUCGGGAGGAACACCAGUGGCGAAGGCGGCCUACUGGGCACCAACUGACGCUGAGGCUCGAAAGUGUGGGUAGCAAACAGAAUUAGAUACCCUGGUAGUCCACACCGUAAACGAUGAUUACUAGGUGUUGGAGGAUUGACCCCUUCAGUGCCGCAGUUAACACAAUAAGUAAUCCACCUGGGGAGUACGACCGCAAGGUUGAAACUCAAAGGAAUUGACGGGGGCCCGCACAAGCAGUGGAGUAUGUGGUUUAAUUCGACGCAACGCGAAGAACCUUACCAAGUCUUGACAUCCCUUGACAGGCAUAGAAAUAUGUUUUCUCUUCGGAGCAAGGAGACAGGUGGUGCAUGGUUGUCGUCAGCUCGUGUCGUGAGAUGUUGGGUUAAGUCCCGCAACGAGCGCAACCCUUAUGGUCAGUUACUACGUAAGAGGACUCUGGCCAGACUGCCGUUGACAAAACGGAGGAAGGUGGGGAUGACGUCAAAUCAUCAUGCCCUUAUGACUUGGGCUACACACGUACUACAAUGGCGUUAAACAAAGAGAAGCAAGACCGCGAGGUGGAGCAAAACUCAGAAACAACGUCCCAGUUCGGACUGCAGGCUGCAACUCGCCUGCACGAAGUCGGAAUUGCUAGUAAUCGUGGAUCAGCAUGCCACGGUGAAUACGUUCCCGGGCCUUGCACACACCACCCGUCA
rnacentral:rRNA from 1 species